rnacentral:rRNA from 1 species
UACGUAGGGUGCAAGCGUUAAUCGGAAUUACUGGGCGUAAAGCGUGCGCAGGCGGUGAUGUAAGACAGGUGUGAAAUCCCCGGGCUUAACCUGGGAACUGCAUUUGUGACUGCAUCGCUGGAGUGCGGCAGAGGGGGAUGGAAUUCCGCGUGUAGCAGUGAAAUGCGUAGAGAUGUGGAGGAAUACCGAUGGCGAAGGCAGCCCCCCUGGGAUAACACUGACGCUCAUGCACGAAAGCGUGGGGAGCAAACAGG